AGCUGGGAUUACAGGUGUGUGCCACCACGCCCGGCUAAUUUUUGUAUUUUUAGUAGAGACGGGGUUUCACCACGUUGGCCAGGAUGGUCUCGAUCUUCUGACCUCAUGAUCCACCCACCUCGGCUUCCCAAAGUGCUGGGAUCACAGGUGUGAGCCACCGCACCGGCCGACCAGAACAGGCGGAUAUUUCAAAGGAGCCACAUCCCCCAACAUCACCUCUCCCACCUGCGAGUCACUGCAUUGUGAGCCUGUUAGACACUGGAGAAGGAAGGCAUGGAGCCGCCAGGGUGAACAAGAUGGACCAGUCCCUCCCCCAUGGAGCUUCUGUUCCGCCAGGGAAAUAAACAUAAACACGAGCUCAUUUCAGAGUGCUAAGUACUGAGAAGCUGCCGAUGCAGGGCACUGUGACCCACGGCGACCUCUGGGUGCACAACGUGAGCUGUGUGCUCAAAGCAGACCCUCUUUAAGGAGAUGAUGUUUGAGCAGAAUUACAAGGAGGUACAGCGUUGUUAGGUUGAAGCGGGGCCUCAAGAGACACAGUGCUGGAUUUAUUCAGUCUUCCUGGCCUGCCUCCACCUGGGGCAGGCAGCGCCUACCAAGUAAAUGAACUUCUGCUGUUGGUAAUGAGCUUUGAUAUACCUUCCAGUCAGUACUGUUAAAGCAAUACUGCUUAAGAGGGCAAAUGUAAAUACAAAAAACGUAUUGACAAAGAUUUUGCUCUGAUUGUGAAAUAAAUGUGUGCA
rnacentral:lncRNA from 1 species